CAGAUGCUCCCCGGCAGCCUUUGGCAUCCUCCGCCCGUGCGCCGCGGUCCCCCGUGCCCUCGGGGGGAGAAGCUGGGCUUCAGCUGCCAGAGCCUCUCUGACCGCGCUGUCGGCACAGAAACACCGGCAGAGAGGACGGGUCAAAGGCAUGCCAGCUUUUCCAUGAUGCCUGGCCAGUCACAUCAGCCAUGACCCGGAGGGACAGGCACAAGAGGUAGUUUGGUCUUCUUAGCGAGCUCAGCCCGGAGCUCUGCCCCCUGAGGAGAGACCUCUGGAUGUGUUGAAGGAUGAGUGGGAUAAUUCCAACUCCUGCUGCUCCCUGGUGAGCUGGGACACCAAACUCGAACCGUUUUAGACCUGAAGUUGGACUUUACCUGCAGUCCUGCUCUUGGAAGGAAAUGCUGUCUCUCCUCUGUGACCACCCCUCAACUCUCAACGUCUUCCACUGAGCAAUUGACUUUCCACGCUACGAGGCAAGGAUCAAAUGGGUUGAGGACAACUGACCCUUCUUGGCUGUGGCAAAGAGGAUUCUUUGGUGCAUUUUUAAGUGCCAGGACAUGAAACAGUAAAUCCCUUCUUCCUGUGCUCCUGCCUCCUACAAGCCAGCCCUGAGUGCGGUCCAAGCCAGACAGUUAAAGGGUUAACCAUAGCUGGAUGCCUGAAUGGCUGCCUUACUGAUCCCACGGAGGAACAGAGGGAUGAGGACUCGCCUGGGCUGCCUGUCUCACAAAUCAGACUCAUAUAAUGAUUUCACAGCUAUUCUUCCGGACAAGCCCAACCGGGCUUUGAAAAGACUGUCAACAGAAGAAGCGACGAGAUGGGCAGAAUCUUUUGAUGUCCUUUUGUCCCAUAAAUGUGAGUAGAGAUCAAAUUCUACCUUUUUUCCCCCUCUUCUG